rnacentral:lncRNA from 1 species
ACUCCUGUCCCUUGCAGCCCUUUCAGCCAUAGACUGACUAACUUAUAUUUUGUUGAUCAGGGAAUGAAUACUGUGUACCCAGACAGCAAUAAACAUUUAGCUGCAGACCACUGACAGAAAUCUAUAGACCACCAGUUUGGGAAACCUCAGCUUCGAACUCUAAAUGAUUCAACAUUUGUGUAAGUCAGACACGUUCUGCUAUUAUGUAACUAAAUAAUUUUAUAUCCAUGGUCAUUGUAAUGCUAAGAGGUUCAGACAGUGUAUGAACUGUUUACUCUUGCAAAUUGUCUCUCUAGUAAUUAGGUGAUAAAAUUGAAAGUGCUU